AGUGGGAUAUCUAAUGAAUGAUCACUAGCAGGAAAAACUGCGGUAUAUACUAAUAUACAUGUAAAACAGUAGUAAAAGUUAUCGACAAUACACGGUAAGAAGCAUUGCAAUUUCAAGCCAGAAACAACAUCUCUAAUCCAAUACUCCAUUUUUGUCUCCAUUCCUCCAUAAUAAUGUAUUUUAUUACAAGAGUAAUUUUGGAGGAAAUCUAACUACAACCCAAUACUCUAUUUCUAUCUCUAUUUCUUUAAAAACUCACUCCAAAUCACAAACUUCACCACUUUUCUUCCAAAAUUGAAAUUCUCAUUUUUCUAA